AGUGGCGGACGGGUGAGUAACGCGUGAGAACCUACCUUUAGGACGGGGACAACAUUGGGAAACUGAUGCUAAUACCGGAUAUGCCUUUUGGGUGAAAUAUUUAUAGCCUGAAGAGGGGCUCGCGUCUGAUUAGCUAGUUGGUGAGUAACGGUUCACCAAGGCGACGAUCAGUAGCUGGUCUGAGAGGAUGAUCAGCCACACUGGGACUGAGACACGGCCCAGACUCCUACGGGAGGCAGCAGUGGGGAAUAUUGGACAAUGGGCGCAAGCCUGAUCCAGCAAUGCCGCGUGAGUGAUGAAGGCCUUAGGGUUGUAAAGCUCUUUUACCCGGGAUGAUAAUGACAGUACCGGGAGAAUAAGCCCCGGCUAACUCCGUGCCAGCAGCCGCGGUAAUACGGAGGGGGCUAGCGUUGUUCGGAAUUACUGGGCGUAAAGCGCACGUAGGCGGCUUUGUAAGUUAGAGGUGAAAGCCUGGAGCUCAACUCCAGAAUAGCCUUUAAGACUGCAUCGCUUGAAUCCAGGAGAGGUGAGUGGAAUUCCGAGUGUAGAGGUGAAAUUCGUAGAUAUUCGGAAGAACACCAGUGGCGAAGGCGGCUCACUGGACUGGUAUUGACGCUGAGGUGCGAAAGCGUGGGGAGCAAAC
rnacentral:rRNA from 1 species